UACGGAGGGCGCAAGCGUUUUUCGGAAUUACUGGGCGUAAAGCGCGUGUAGGCGGCCUGACAAGUCGAAUGUGAAAUCCCGGAGCUCAACUCCGGAACUGCAUACGAUACUGUUAGGCUCGAGUCUCGGAGAGGAUGGCGGAAUUUCCGGUGUAGAGGUGAAAUUCGUAGAUAUCGGAAGGAACACCAGUGGCGAAGGCGGCCGUCUGGACGAUGACUGACGCUGAGACGCGAAAGCGUGGGGAGCAAACAGG
rnacentral:rRNA from 1 species